rnacentral:misc_RNA from 1 species
GUGAAUCAUCAAAUCUUUGAACGCAAAUUGCACUCUUUGGUAUUCCGAAGAGUAUGCCUGUUUGAGGGUUGUUAAAUUAAAAAAGUUAUUUUUAACACGGUUCUGUGUUUUCUAAAGUUUCAUGAUUUUGGUAACUUUAAUUCCACCUUAACGAUAUCUUUGGAAUGAUUUUGGCACUGGUUAUAUUCUUACUACCUGUGAGUAUCACUAAAAAUCGAUUACCUGUAGUUACGUAGUCUGAUUGGAAGAU